GCAAGAGCGUAACAGAGUGAACAGCAUCAGAGUGGGUGUUCAAGAAUAGUCUCUGUAGAGUGACCGCAUGAGGAUAAGAAGUCAGCAAGAGGACAAGGAGCCAGCAAGAGGAGAUGCUUGGGAGGCCAGCCUUGGAAGGACUGAAGACAGAAGAGCUGCAGGCAGAGUUUGCCUUUUACUUGCCACAGUGGACGCAUGCUUGUGGUGAAAGGGCUCCAGGACCGCUUGGCUGGGAUGGUAACGCAGCGCACAGUGGCGGAGAGCUCAGAGACUAGGCCUGUCUGGAGGGUCCUGUAUGUGAGCUGAUCAUCCACCUCACAGCAGCCUUUCAGCUAUCACCCUCAUUUUACAGGUGUUGCUGUGCAGCCCAGGCUGCCCUCCGACUCACAGAGACCCUCCUGCCUCAGCCCCUCCCGGAGUGCUGGGAUUGCAGGCAAAGGAUAGGAAGUAGCUGAGGAAAAGAGAAUCAUCAUCCACUCCAUCUGGCAGAGUUCAGCAUAUGCUGCACUGGGAUUUUUGUAUUAAAAGAGCUGAAGAGAUUUUUUGAUUAGAAGGAUUAUUCUAGGAGUUUUCCACAAGGAAUCAGCAGCCUGUGGUUAUGUUCUGCACCUAUUAAAAGAUGGAGUUGUAAAACUGAUGUGUAUGUAAUCUCUUUUCAGGUUUCCAAGGCAACGGUGGCAGCAAUUCUGUGAAUAGCUCUUCCAUUUUUCCUUCAAGACUUUCAGGCUGUGAAAUUGUUUUGCUUUCAAAAACUAUUCUUUCUUUAAAAAAUAAUACAUGCAUUUAGAUUCAUUGUGAGAAGAUCUUUAUAAGUUAGGCAUAUUUCCAGGAUGUUAGUCCAAUAAGUAAACAGUUUUGCUACUAACAGGCUGUGCAAUUUUGGGUAAGCCAGUUAUCCUCCGUAAGUUUCAAUUCCUUCAUCUACAAAAUAUAAACAAAAAUCAUAUCUCUACAAUAGGGUUGUGAGAGAUGUAUGUGAAAUGUUUGGCACAAUCUAUGGCUUGUGAUUAUGAUUAGUGAUUGUUCUGAAUGAAAAUUUGGUCAGUUGGGAUGCCAGGUGAGGUUGUAACUGUUCAAAAUGAAGGCAAUGCCCCUUCAGCAUCAACAAAGUCUGUAGACAUGCCCCUCCUAUUAAUCCUGAUAUUGAAAAUGUGUGUUUUCUCAUUUUUUCCUAAGUGUUUGUUUGUAUCUUUGUAUUUAAAGUACAUCAUGUAUAAAUAGCAUGUAUUUGAGUUUUGUUUUGUUUACUCAAUAAAAAGUUCUGCCUUUAAUUUGAGUGUUUGCACC
ensembl:lncRNA